UUUUCAGUUACGUGUUUACCAAACACCAAAUAUCUGAAAUGCUUCUUCUUGAUCACUUUCCUGGAAGUGCUUCAUGAGAAGCCCUUUCUGAAAAGCAAAAGCAACAACCACCAAGAAGAAAGGAAAAGAACCAUUCUUUGGGUAAGUUGGUUUCAUGCUUAGAUAACUGUAAUGACUAAGAGACUGAAUUGAUUCACCAAGUCAUACUUUACUCUCCAAAAGCCUGAGACUUACAUAGAUGCCCUUUAAAACUUAAAAUUUGCAUAAAUGACUUUAGUGUUAGAUAUCAUCCUCCUUAGUUCUCACACAUAUUUGCCUGAAAUUUACUUUUUUUUGUUUUAAAGAUGUUGCAAGUUGCAACCAUAUUCAUCUAAUCUAUAAUCUUUCUUCCUUUACUACAUAUGAGUAUCCUUCUGCUCCAUUUCACUCUCCUUCCAUGGAAUACCAUGAAAAAUUCCUUCUUGACCUCUAAGUGACCUUUGAAGUUGUGCCAUAUAAUGAACUAAUCAAUAAUUGGUCUUUCC
rnacentral:lncRNA from 1 species